rnacentral:lncRNA from 1 species
GGAGUUCUGAAUGGGUCACUCCAAAUCAGUCAAAUCUGGCUUUAGACACCACUGUUUAAAAUCUGCCCACAUCUCCUGAAAGGGGCAGACAAAGCAUUAUGAAACGAAUCGCAUAACUAUUCUUUUGUGAGAUUAAAAGCAAGGAGUGAAAGUAUAAUGUGGCCAUGAUGGAGAGCAGAGUGCUGAUGAGAGAGACAGAUUUGUUAGGUGAUAACUUUUGUAACCCAUUGGCAACAUGUUGUGUCCCUGGGGGCCAAACAGAUGUGCUGAUUCUGAUGCCAAAUGGAAAAAAUGGGUCCAAGAGGAAAGUAAAAGUGGAAAAAGCACUUGCCUGGGGAGAUGAAAAUAAACUUCUUGAGAUUCUCUUUGUUGUUUUAAAAUGCUUUCACUUCAAGGACUGUGAAACUUUACAACUUCAGUCUUUGGCAAAUGAAUGCAUACAGAAGAAUUAAUGGGAAAAUACAGGGAACAAACAGUGGUGGCAGAUUUUUUCAUCUGGUCAUGAAAAAGGGAGGUAUUUCCAAUGGAAGUGCAUCUUUGGAGACAUUCCAGGAGAAAGAACUUAAAUAAUAAAAUCAUACGCG